rnacentral:rRNA from 1 species
GGUCAAGUUAUUAAGGGUGCAGGGCGGAUGCCUUGGCACUAGGAGCCGAUGAAGGACGUGAUAAGCUGCGAUAAGCUUCGGGGAGUUGCACGUAAACUUUGAUCCGAAGAUUUCCGAAUGAGGAAACUCACUUAGAGUAAUGUCUAAGUAUCAUUAAGUGAAUACAUAGCUUAAUGAGGGGAACUCAGGGAACUGAAACAUCUAAGUACCUGAAGGAAGAGAAAGAAAUUCGAUUCCGUAAGUAGCGGCGAGCGAACGCGGAUUAGCCCAAACCAAUAAAGUUUUCUUUAUUGGGGUUGCGGACAUAUCAUAACGAAGAGGUAUCGUAAUUGAAGAGGUUUGGAAAGACCCACCACAGAAGGUAAUAGUCCUGUAUGUUAAACGAGAAGACUUCAGAUAUGAUCCAGAGUACCACGGGACACGUGAAACCCUGUGGGAAGCAGGAGGGACCACCCUCCAAGGCUAAAUACUACCUAGUGACCGAUAGCGUAUAGUACCGUGAGGGAAAGGUGAAAAGAACCCCGGGAGGGGAGUGAAAUAGAACCUGAAACCCUGCACUUACAAGCUGUGGAAGCACAUUUCUUGUGUGACCGCGUACUUUUUGUAGAACGGGCCAACGAGUUACGUUAAGUAGCAAGGUUAAGCACUUAAGGUGCGGAGCCGUAGCGAAAGCGAGUUUUAACUGAGCGUUCAGUUACUUGACGUAGACCCGAAACCGGGCGACCUACCCAUGAGCAGGAUGAAGCGAAAGUAAAAUUUCGUGGAGGUCCGAACCCACGAGCGUUGAAAAGCUCGGGGAUGACUUGUGGGUAGCGGUGAAAUUCCAAUCGAGCCCGGAGAUAGCUGGUUCUCCCCGAAAUAGCUUUAGGGCUAGCCUCAAGGUGAGAGAUACGGAGGUAGAGCACUGAAUGUCCUAGGGGGUAUUGCACCUACCGAAGACUAUCAAACUCCGAAUGCCGUCAUCUUAUACUUGGGAGUCAGACUGUGGGUGAUAAGAUUCAUAGUCGAAAGGGCAACAGCCCAGAUCGUCAGCUAAGGUCCCUAAAUGUAAGUUAAGUGGUAAAGGAUGUGGGAUUGCACAGACAACCAGGAUGUUGGCUUAGAAGCAGCCACUCAUUCAAAGAGUGCGUAAUAGCUCACUGGUCGAGUGAUCCUGCGCCGAAGAUUUCCGGGGCUAAAACUUACUACCGAAGCUACGGCAUCAGUAAUGAUGGGUAGGGGAGCUUCCCAUACGGGUUGAAGCAUGACCGUAAGGACAUGUGGACAGUAUGGGAGUGAGAAUGUUGGCAUGAGUAGCGAGAUGUGGGUGAGAAUCCCACAGGCCGUAAACCCAAGGUUUCCAGGGGAAGGUUCGUCCGCCCUGGGUUAGUCGGGACCUAAGCUGAGGCCGAAAGGCGUAGGUGAUGGACAACAGGUUGAUAUUCCUGUACUACCGAUAACCGUUUGAGAGAAGGGAUGACACAGUAGGAUAAGCUAAGCACACUGUUGGUUAUGUGUGCCCAAGCAUUGAGGCAGUCAAAGUAGGCAAAUCCGCUUUGAUAAUGCUGGGAUGUGAUGGGGAGCGAAAUUUAGUAGCGAAGUAGCUGAUUUCACACUGUCAAGAAAAGUCUCUAUCGAGGUUAAAGGUACCCGUACCGCAAACCGACACAGGUGGGUGAGGAGAGUAUCCUAAGGCCAGCGAGAGAACUGUUGUUAAGGAACUCGGCAAAAUGACCCCGUAACUUAGGGAUAAGGGGUGCCACCAUCAGGUGGCCGCAGAGAAUAGGCCCAAGCGACUGUUUACCAAAAACAUAGGUUUCUGCUAAGUCGCAAGACGAUGUAUAGGAGCUGACGCCUGCCCGGUGCUGGAAGGUUAAGGGGAUCUGUUAGAGCAAUCGAAGCAGUGAACUUAAGCCCCAGUAAACGGCGGCCGUAACUAUAACGGUCCUAAGGUAGCGAAAUUCCUUGUCGGGUAAGUUCCGACCCGCACGAAAGGCGUAACGAUUUGGGCACUGUCUCAACAACAGACUCGGUGAAAUUGUAAUUCCGGUGAAGAUGCCGGAUACCUGCGACAGGACGGAAAGACCCCAUGGAGCUUUACUGUAGCUUGACAUUGGGUUUUGGUACUACAUGUACAGGAUAGGUGGGAGGCUUUGAAACCAGGACGCCAGUUUUGGCGGAGCCAUCCUUGGGAUACCACCCUUGUAGUACUGGGACUCUAACCAUAGGCCAUGAAUCUGGUCUUGGGACACUGUCAGGCGGGCAGUUUGACUGGGGCGGUCGCCUCCCAAAAGGUAACGGAGGCGCUCAAAGGUUCUCUCAGUACGGUCGGAAAUCGUACGUAGAGUGUAAAGGCAAAAGAGAGCUUGAUUGCAAGACAUACAGGUCGAGCAAGGAUGAAAAUCGGACUUAGUGAUCCGGUGGUUCUGCGUGGAAGGGCCAUCGCUCAACGGAUAAAAGCUACCCUGGGGAUAACAGGCUUAUCUCCCCCAAGAGUCCACAUCGACGGGGAGGUUUGGCACCUCGAUGUCGGCUCAUCACAUCCUGGGGCUGUAGUAGGUCCCAAGGGUUGGGCUGUUCGCCCAUUAAAGUGGUACGCGAGCUGGGUUCAGAACGUCGUGAGACAGUUCGGUCCCUAUCCGUCGCAGGCGUAGGAAAUUUGAGAAGACCUGUCCUUAGUACGAGAGGACCGGGAUGGACGUACCUCUGGUGUACCAGUUGUUCUGCCAAGGGCAUGGCUGGGUAGCUAUGUACGGAAUGGAUAAGCGCUGAAAGCAUCUAAGCGCGAAGCCAACUUCAAGAUAAGAUUUCCCACCGCAAGGGUAAGACCCCAGAAAGACUAUCUGGUUGAUAGGUCGAAGGUGUAAGUGCAGCAAUGUAUUUAGCUUAUCGAUACUAAUAGGUCGAGGACUUGACCAAAUUAUUUGAUGUCCAUUCAAUAAAAUAUAUAUGUAGUUUUUAGAGUGUUAACU